rnacentral:antisense_RNA from 1 species
ACCAACCCGGUGGAGGUCUUGUGGAGAAAGUCGCGGCGAGCAUCACGGACACGGGCAUGUUUGCGCGCCACCUUCACCCGCUGCCGGGCGCGGUUGGCCGAGCCCUUCUGCAUCCGGGACAAGCGCCGCUGGUGUCGACGCAGGCCACGUUCGUGGCGGGCCAUGUGACCCGGGUUGGCGAUCUUCUCCCCGGUCGACAGGACCGCGAAGUCCUUGACACCGAGGUCGACCCCCACCGACUCCCCGGCUGGGGCAAGCGCGGCCGGGUCGGGUCGUUCGACCGCGAAGGUGACAAACCAACGCCCGUCCGGUUCACACGACACGAUCACCAUCGACGGGUCGAGAUCGGCGAGAUCGACACCCGGCCACGACCACGCCACCGGCAACGGGGCCGUGGUUUUCGCCAGCCACAACGCCCCGUCUUUGAUACGGAACGCCGACCGGGUGAAGUGCGCGGACUGGCGACCAUGCCGGUUUUUGAACCGAGGGUAUUUCGCGGCACCUGUGAAAAACGCGGCGAACGCGGCGUGCUGAUGCCGCAGCGUCUGCUGCAACGGCACCGACGACACCUCCGACAAAAACGCCAACUCCGG